GAUUACUCAAAGACCCAUUGACUAAACUGUUCCGUCACAGUCAGUUAGUUUCAUUGUCAUGUCCAGAGCCUACACAUUUAAAAGGGAGGGACUUGUAAAAGAAAUAAGGUGAUACUUCUAAUUUUUAAUUCCUCCAUAUUGGCUUUUAAGUAAUGACUGCAGUUAUUUUUUCAGUUCCUAACAUGUGGCUUUGAAAAGGAAACGGAUUACUUUGAAGUCAUUUGUAAAGGUGUUGCUUUCUGUGAAAACAUUCACUUUCAGAUGGUCACUUUGGAAUUCUAAAAAGGGAAAUAAAAGAAAGGAGAAGUCAAAUGAAUCGCACAUGGUUCGAAGCCAUCAUCACCAGAGAUCCCCAUUUCAUCAACAGACAUCUGUGGGAAGCUUCUUAUGUAAAAUUUUAUAAAAAACAAAAGACACAGAUUGAGGUAAAAUGGACAAACAAUUUUAGCUGUGUGCACACUCAAAGAACUGACACUGAUGAUACAGGUAACCCACCUGGCCACCUCUGUGGUGGGCGAAGUACCCUGGAUCAACUUGGCAGCCCGAAAUCACUGAAAUGACAUGCACCCAUCACUGCCUUAGCAGCUCCCCACUGCCCAGAUGUGCACAGUGAUUGACAGCAUUUCCUCCUCUGCUGCACGGAACGCUGUGGGGAGCAGCACGGCCUUUGUUUGCUCAGCUGUAUCUACUCCGCAGCCCGCCCAGAGAAUACCUGAGAAAUGCGUUCCCUUGGAGGACAGGGAGAAGGCAAAACUGGAUCAUGAUGAAGUUGAGGGAGAGUUUGUUUGUCAAAGAAUUUAUGCAAAUGUACAGAAUGUGAACUUAAGACAUCAUCUAUCAAAAUGUCAAGACCACCAGCAAGACUCCAGCAAGAUAUCUAGAAAUUUCUAGACACUGCUAAAGCUUUGCAGUGCAGGGGAUAAUCUCUCUAAAUCACUUCAUUGAUAAAAGUGGCAGCAUUAUACAAAAGUCUGAAUGUAAAGUGAUUUUUAUUUUGCCUUUUAAGUGUGCUUAAAGUCUAACAUUAACUUUUGAGGGGGUG
ensembl:lncRNA